AAUGAACGUUGGCGGCAUGGAUUAGGCAUGCAAGUCGAGCGAGAAGAGUUUUGAAGCUUGCUUUAGAACUCGGACAGCGGCGAAAGGGAGAGUAACGCGUAGUUAUGUGCCCUAGGGUCCGGAAUAGCCACGGGAAACUGUGGGUAAUGCCGGAUAAUAUCCCCGGAUCAAAGGUGUGAUUCCGCCCUAGGAGCAGACUGCGUCCUACUAGCUAGUUGGUGGGGUAAUGGCCUACCAAGGCAACGAUGGGUAGCGGGUGUGAGAGCAUGACCCGUCUCACUGGGACUGAGACACUGCCCAGACACCUACGGGUGGCUGCAGUCGAGAAUCUUCGGCAAUGGGCGAGAGCCUGACCGAGCGAUGCCGCGUGCGGGAUGAAGGCCCUCGGGUUGUAAACCGCUGUUGUAGGGGAGGAAGGUUCCGUGAAGAGCGGAAUUUGACCUAUCCUAGGAGGAAGUACGGGCUAAGUCCGUGCCAGCCGCCGCGGUAA
rnacentral:rRNA from 1 species